rnacentral:rRNA from 1 species
UGGGGGAUUUUGGACAAUGGGCGCAAGCCUGAUCCAGCCAUUCCGCGUGCAGGACGAAGGCCUUCGGGUUGUACACUGCUUUUGUACGUAACGAAAAGCCCUUCUCUAAUACAGGGGGGUCAUGACGGUACCGUAAGAAUAAGCACCGGCUAACUACGUGCCAGCAGCCGCGGUAAUACGUAGGGUGCAAGCGUUAAUCGGAAUUACUGGGCGUAAAGCGUGCGCAGGCGGUGAUGUAAGACAGGUGUGAAAUCCCCGGGCUUAACCUGGGAAUUGCAUUUGUGACUGCAGCGCUGGAGUGCGGCAGAGGGGGAUGGAAUUCCGCGUGUAGCAGUGAAAUGCGUAGAUAUGCGGAGGAACACCGAUGGCGAAGGCAAUCCCCUGGGCCUGCACUGACGCGCAUGCACGAAAGCGUGGGUAGCAAACA